rnacentral:tRNA from 1 species
AGGGAUUUAGCCAAGUGGCAAGGCAACGGACUUUGACUCCGUUAUACGAUAGUUCGAUUCUAUCAAUCCCUGCCA